rnacentral:misc_RNA from 1 species
AAGUCGUAACAAGGUUUCCGUAGGUGAACCUGCGGAAGGAUCAUUAAAGAAUUCGGCUUCGUGGGCCAAGUUCCACCCUUUGUAUCCGAAACCCAGUUUGUUUUGGCAGGGCCCCCUGCAUUUUCUCGGGGCCUGCCAGAGGUUUAAACCCUAGAAUCUCUGCUGUCUGAGUACUAUGCAAUAGUUAAAA